AGCGAACGCUGGCGGCAGGCUUAACACAUGCAAGUCGAGCGGGCACUUUCGGGUGUCAGCGGCGGACGGGUGAGUAACGCGUGGGAACGUGCCCUCUGGUUCGGAAUAACUCAGGGAAACUUGAGCUAAUACCGGAUACGCCCUUUUGGGGAAAGGCUUGCUGCCGGAGGAUCGGCCCGCGUCUGAUUAGCUAGUUGGUGAGGUAACGGCUCACCAAGGCGACGAUCAGUAGCUGGUCUGAGAGGCUGAUCAGCCACACUGGGACUGAGACACGGCCCAGACUCCUACGCGAGGCAGCAGUGGGGAAUAUUGGACAAUGGGCGCAAGCCUGAUCCAGCCAUGCCGCGUGAGUGAUCAAGGCCUUAGGGUUGUAAAGCUCUUUUAUCCGGGACGAUAAUGACGGUACCGGAGGAAUAAGCCCCGGCUAACUUCGUG
rnacentral:rRNA from 1 species